GCAGGCUGUGUCCAGAGGAAGGUCAGAGACAGCAGGCUGUGUCCAGAGGAAGGUCAGAGACAGCAGGCUGUGUCCAGAGGAAGGUCAGAGACAGCAGGCUGUGUCCAGAGGAAGGUCAGAGACAGCAGGCUGUGUCCAGAGGAAGGUCAGGGACAGCAGGCUGUGUCCAGAGGAAGGUCAGGGACAGCAGGCUGUGUCCAGAGGAAGGUCAGGGACAG